rnacentral:rRNA from 1 species
UCAUACACGAAAGCUAGGGGAGCAAACAGGUUUAGAUACCCUGGUAGUCCUAGCUGUAAACGGUGUGCACUCGAUGUUGGCGGAAUUGUCCCCGCCAGUGUCUAAGCAAACGCGUUAAGUGCACCGCCUGGGGAGUACGGUCGCAGGAUUAAAACUCAAGGAAAUUGACGGGGACCCGCACAAGCGGAGGAGCAUGUGGCUUAAUUCGAUGCAACGCGAAGAACCUUACCUGGACUUGACAUAUAACUGCACGUCCUGUGAAAGCAGGAUUCCUUCGAGGGUGUUAUACAGGUGCUGCAUGGCUGUCGUCAGUUCGUGCCGUGAGGUGUUAGGUUAAGUCUUGCAACGAACGCAACCCCUAUGUUUAGUUGCCAUCAGGUUAUGCUGGGCACUCUAGACAGACUGCCCGUGCAAUCGGGAGGAAGGUGGGGACGACGUCAAGUCAGUAUGGCCCUUACGUCCAGGGCUGCACACGUGCUACAAUGACCGGUACAGAGGGCAGCGAUACCGCGAGGUGGAGCUAAUCCCUUAAAACCGGUCCCAGUUCGGAUUGGAGUCUGCAACUCGACUUCAUGAAGUUGGAUUCGCUAGUAACGGCGUAUCAGCUGCGGCGNC